AUUGAACGCUGGCGGCAUGCUUUACACAUGCAAGUCGAACGGCAGCGCGGGCUUCGGCCUGGCGGCGAGUGGCGAACGGGUGGGUAAGGCACCGGAACGUGCCCAGUAGUGGGGGAUAGGCCGGCGACAGCCGGAUGAAUACCGCAUACGACCUGAGGGUGAAAGCGGGGGACCGAAAGGGCAAGAGGGAUUGGAGGUGCCGAUGUCGCAUUAGCUAGUUGGUGGGGUAACGGCUUACCAAGGCGACGAUCCGUAGCUGAGCUGAGAGGCCGACCAGCCACACUGGAACUGAGACACGGCCCAGACUCCUACGGGAGGCAGCAGUGGGGAAUUUUGCACAAUGGGCGCAAGCCUGAUCCAGCCAUGCCGCGUGCGUGAUGAAGGCCUUCGGAUUGUAAACCUCUUUUGUUCGGGAAGAACUCCUCUGGACUUAUCCCCCGGGGGGAUGACGGUACCGAAACAGUAAGCCCCGGCUAACUACGUG
rnacentral:rRNA from 1 species